GUAAAAUAAAAUCAGCAGUAUCUGAGUACAUUAAGGGAGAAUAAACUGCCAAUGUUCCUGCUAAAAUGCACUUAAUGUUAGCAUUUUCUAACCUCCAGUCAAUUCUCAAGUAACAAUCUGCUUUCCUCAAAUUAGAUACAAUAACUGUGAGUCUUUGCCAAUAGUUCUAGUUUCUAUUCAGUGAUAAAACUUCUUGCCCUAUACUAAUUUGGGCAAUGUACACAGCACACACAUACGACACUGAACAUCAGUUAGUGAAAACUGUAGAAAUAUUGAAAUGCUGUGUCCCAUUUCCAGCAAGCCAAAAGGGUUUUCUUGUAAGUGAAAUCUUCAAACAGGAAGCAGAGCACUUGGCACACAAAUUGUCUGAUUAUAACAGGCUGUAUCCAGAGCAAAAAUAAAAAAUAAUCCUGAAAUUUGAUGCUGAUUAAGGGAGCCCAACAGAGUGAGGUUAACAGAUAUCUUCUUACUCAAUGGAAUUCUAUUUUUCAAACAUGUAAUACCCAAUUUACAUCUUUCCUAUAUGAUUUACUAAUCUCACUAAGGGACAUUAAGAAAAUAGCCAUUUGAUGGAGACUUUAGGAAAAUAACUUAGCAAAUACAUAGUGCUGGUUAUUCUCCAGCAUGCCAAAGAUAUUAUUUUUAUCAUAAACAAUAAGACAUGAAGAUAUGAAUAGAACUCAACUUCUUUUCGCUUAUCUAGCAUUCUUUGUCACAACUUGAAAACCGCUGUUUCAAGACUAAAUAUCAAAUUAAUCACAAAUACAUCUCCAACUUAGCUUGGGGUUUGCAUUAUGCUUAUAGACAUUUUCCCUUCAUUCACGGUGUUAACUUAAUCAAAGGAGGAACAUGCAGUGUAGACCUUGUCCUCACAUUCUCAGACCAGUAUUUCUUACAAAUUUGCAGCAGGUUGAUACCACCCUAUGCUUGGAUUGUGACUAUAGUUAUUGCAACUUCGGUAAUGGUUUUCCCAUGUUUAAAAAGAAUGAUAAUCAUUUAUGUACAUGCAAUUUAUAUUUCCAAAUGCAAAGGGGAGAAGAGUGCAGCAAAUCUUGCUGAAGAGUUGAUUUGGAG
rnacentral:lncRNA from 1 species